CCUGACCCUGCCCUUUCCACCUUUCCCAGAAGAAAUUAUUACCUGCUCUUGAGUUAUUGAUCAAGUGGCAGGUACCCUGCCUGCUCCCCCUUCCAUCCACCCACCCCAUGGGAUAAGGCCUUGGGAAACCCAGCUUCUUGUCAGGUUGCUCUGGGCAAUGUUGAUCAUCACCCGCCUUAUCGGAAGGUAUGGAGAGGGGAGGAAGUUCUGGGGCCUAGAGUCAGCUGCUCAGGUUCAAAUCCUAGCUCCCCACUUGCUGGCCGGGUGGCCUUGGGCUGGUUUCCUUGCUUCAAGAUCCUCAGUGUUUUCAUCAGUAUAACGGGAACGAUCAUGGUACCUAGCUCCAAGGUCCUCCCCGGGGUUCCAUGGGAAGUACUUAGCACCUAGAAAGUUCUCUGUAAAUGUUUGUUCUUACUAUUAUUGCAUGUGUGAAGCCCAACACCUAGAAAGUUCUCUGUAAAUGUUUGUUCUUACUAUUAUUGCAUGUGUGAACGGCCCUCUAAGCCUGGCCCCACUCUCAAAUGGCCCAUACAAUCCCUAAUCACCCGUGUUUCCGGACCAGAGAUUGUAUCGUCUCUGCAGGGGAUAAAGUGAUCCACAUAGUAUCCGCCUCUAGACUGUAGUCAUUUUAUGGACAGAAACAUUGCUUAUUUAUUCCUGUUCCAAAAGCCUAGGAUUUUCCUCCCAUUGGCCUCUCAAUACUGUAAGUGCCUAAGGACACAGGGAGAGAAUGGGGUGGCUUCUGCCCUCUCUGACUUCUUUCUUUGGGAUCAUGGGCAAGGUAGCAUUUGAUCUGGGCCUUGGGCUGAGUGAAGUUCCCCUGGGCAGGGAGUAAAGGACAUGAGAUAGGUGAGCCUGUCACGCUUGGGUAGUGGAGUCAAUUGUGUCCAAAGGUAGCUG
rnacentral:lncRNA from 10 species